UUCCCCCGCUGUUGAAUAGGGCUGUUGACAUACAAGAGAGGUCUGCAUGCUCCUCUCAUGCUUGAAGGUGGUUUGCCCAACCUGACUUAGUACUUGGGAGUUUUUGAUCCCCUUUGUAGGGAGAAAGGAGUUGUUUUAGAGCUCUAAUGUAACAUUUUUUUCCAUUAUUUAUUUUCUGCAAAUGUUCAUGUUCCCGAUGAACUUCUUUUUGAAAUGUUUUGCUGGAGCCUUAUCCACAUAGGCUGAUCACAUGUGCCCCAGAUAUAAACAGGAAGAAAAGGUUUCCAGUUCCAUCUGCUGCAGUCUAGAACAAUUUUAUCCACCAUUUGCUGAGAGAAAGCAAUUCUGAUUUAAAGGGCAUGUAAGCUGUGUUAUUAGUCUGAUAGGAUAAUGUAUUACAUUCUUUUUUCCUAGUGAAUUUUUAAACCUGAGCUGAAAAUAAGUGCAAUUCAUGAGCUGUAAGUAAAGAUGUAAAAAAACCGGAGGAAGAAAAAGAAAUUGGAAUUUACAUUAAUAGCAUAAACUGAGCACCUGGACAGUUGGUUAAAACCCCUCCAGAAAGAAUCUUCGACCAAACACCCAGCCAGCUCUUUUCCAGCAACUUUCAGCAGAGGUAAAUGGGAAACCCCACCAAACAAACAAACAAACAAACAACAACAACAACAAACAGCCAAUUCGUGGAUGCAACUGCUUCACCAGGGCUCUGAAUUCCUUUACCUCUUGGUAACAGUGUAGACCACCCAGGUGGCUCCUACUGCUCACCAACCAGCUGAAGCUCUCCCUCCUCAAGCUGGGCUGCUGACAGACCCAUCCUUGUAAAUUUGGUGUUGGUAGUAGUGGAUUCUGGCAGAAGGAGCUCAGUAGGUAUUUACUGGAUAAAGGCACAGCAUCUAGCACCUGAAUUUUAGUUCUCCUGAGCCUGCUGAAUCCUUUGUUACUCACUUACCAUUCCUAAACAUGGAUGGCAUUUGCUGGAUGUGCUUGCCUUUUCCUCAAAAUUAGCAUUUUCUUUUAAGUUUCCUAUUUUGAGUUCUGUUUUACUCUUUUGUAGCAGCUGGAAGAGCCCAGCUAUAGCUGGCACGUGGUGGUGACCCAUUGCGUGUAGUGCUGAGAGGCAGAACUGUGAGGAGAUGGCUUGGAGGUGCCGGUACCGCCAAGCUUUGUGGCCCCCCCAGAAAGCACCAAGGCAUGCUGCGAGGCAUGCUGAGAGAGAUGUUUCUUGCAAGAAACCACCAGAGGAAGUCUGUCUAGUUUCAGAAAAUUAAAGUAUCUUUGAAACUGAAAGCAAACAGGAGCUUCCACGGGAGAGAAAACCAAAAGUGCAUUUAAAAAGUUACAGUCAUUGCGUAUCCAUUUGUCCAUCCGUUCCAAAUUCAGUAGUGGUUUCUUGCCAAAAAGCAAGAAAAAGCACCCAAAAAGAGGCAAGGCUGCACAGAGCUCUGCUGCCAAAGCACAAUGCCAGGCAGCGAGGAGGGGAGGCCGUGCUCCGCUGUCGUCCCCCGAGGGACGGCUGUGAAGGAAGGAAGCAGAUCACAGUGUGUGAAGUCUGAGAAGUGACAGCGUUUUGCACUCAAGGCAAC
ensembl:lncRNA